UACAGAGGUGGCAAGCGUUGUUCGGAAUUACUGGGCGUAAAGGGCGCGUAGGCGGCCUUCUAAGUCAGACGUGAAAUCCCCCGGCUUAACCUGGGAACUGCGUCUGAUACUGGGAGGCUUGAGUAUGGGAGAGGGAUGUAGAAUUCCUGGUGUAGCGGUGGAAUGCGCAGAUAUCAGGAGGAACACCAAUAGCGAAGGCAGCUCGCUGGGACGGUACUGACGCUGAGGCGCGAAAGCGUGGGGAGCGAACAGG
rnacentral:rRNA from 1 species